UGCGCAGGCGGUUUUGUAAGACAGACGUGAAAUCCCCGGGCUUAACCUGGGAACUGCGUUUGUGACUGCAAGGCUAGAGUAUGGCAGAGGGGGGUAGAAUUCCACGUGUAGCAGUGAAAUGCGUAGAGAUGUGGAGGAAUACCGAUGGCGAAGGCAGCCCCCUGGGUCAAUACUGACGCUCAUGCACGAAAGCGUGGGGAGCAAACAGGAUUAGAUACCCUGGUAGUCCACGCCCUAAACGAUGUCAACUAGGUGUUGGGGGAGAGACUUCCUUAGUACCGCAGCUAACGCGUGAAGUUGACCGCCUGGGAGUACGGCCGCAAGGUUGAA
rnacentral:rRNA from 1 species